GAUGAACGCUGGCGGCGUGCCUAAUACAUGCAAGUCGAGCGAACAGACGAGGAGCUUGCUCCUCUGACGUUAGCGGCGGACGGGUGAGUAACACGUGGAUAACCUACCUAUAAGACUGGGAUAACUUCGGGAAACCGGAGCUAAUACCGGAUAAUAUAUUGAACCGCAUGGUUCAAUAGUGAAAGACGGUUUUGCUGUCACUUAUAGAUGGAUCCGCGCCGCAUUAGCUAGUUGGUAAGGUAACGGCUUACCAAGGCAACGAUGCGUAGCCGACCUGAGAGGGUGAUCGGCCACACUGGAACUGAGACACGGUCCAGACUCCUACGGGAGGCAGCAGUAGGGAAUCUUCCGCAAUGGGCCGAAGCCUGACGGAGCAACGCCGCGUGAGUGAUGAAGGUCUUCGGAUCGUAAAACUCUGUUAUUAGGGAAGAACAAAUGUGUAAGUAACUAUGCACGUCUUGACGGUACCUAAUCAGAAAGCCACGGCUAACUACGUG
rnacentral:rRNA from 1 species